rnacentral:rRNA from 1 species
AGCGAACGCUGGCGGCAGGCCUAACACAUGCAAGUCGAACGAACCCUUCGGGGUUAGUGGCGGACGGGUGAGUAACACGUGGGAACGUGCCUUUAGGUUCGGAAUAACUCAGGGAAACUUGUGCUAAUACCGAAUGUGCCCUUCGGGGGAAAGAUUUAUCGCCUUUAGAGCGGCCCGCGUCUGAUUAGCCAGUUGGUGAGGUAAUGGCUCACCAAGGCUACGAUCAGUAGCUGGUCUGAGAGGAUGACCAGCCACAUUGGGACUGAGACACGGCCCAAACUCCUACGGGAGGCAGCAGUGGGGAAUCUUGCGCAAUGGGCGAAAGCCUGACGCAGCCAUGCCGCGUGGAUGAUGAAGGUCUUAGGAUUGUAAAGUCCUUUCACCGGUGAAGAUAAUGACUGUAGCCGGAGAAGAAGCCCCGGCUAACUUCGUGCCAGCAGCCGCGGUAAAAC